CUGAGUGGCUGAGAGUCUGGCUCUACGGCACCAGAGAUGGGCUGACACCUUGGCUCUGCCACCACAAAUCAUGGGACCUGAGGAAGGUUAUUCAGCCUCUGUGAACGCCCCGCCUCAGCUGGGAGGUGCCUGGCUGCCCUGCCUUCUUGAAUGUAGCCAAAGAGUGAAUAAGAGGUCUCUUUGUGAGCAUCUGAUUUUAUUUCUCUUGGAUAAGUACGCAGAAGUGGGAUUACCGAAUCAUAUGUCAAACAAGAAAUGCCCAACUGAUUUUCAGAGUGGCCGCCCUUGGCACGUCCACCAGCGACGGACAAGAGCUCCAGCUGCUCUGCAACCUUUUCGGACUAUCUGGUUUGCUGAUGACAUUGUAUAACUGAAACAGGAAUGACAUGGAACAGUAAUAAAUGCACAAUAACAAAAGCCAAAUCCAGAGCAGAUGGGAAAGAAACAUGUUGCACCCUAGUUUCCGUGCUCAGAGCGGUGUCAGUCACUUGGGCAGAGGAAGAACAAAGUGCUGAAAGGAAGGCUGAUUCCUAAUGAAGCUGCCAGCAUCACGGCAACGAAGCCCAGAGACGCCCGCUAGGGCACGGCUGGCCAGUGGUGAUCACAGCAGAGGUCUGGGGUUGCCACUGCCGCCCAUGGCCUAGACAGACCCCACGGCUCCUCCCUGUCAGGGGACUCUUGGAAGGAUACCCUCCUGCCAUCCACUUGAGUGUGUCGUCACCAAUCCUUAUUAGAGGCCCGCACACCACAAAUCCUGACUCAUUGUUACUCUCCUUCACGACUGACAUUCGAGAAGAAGAGAGCGGACAGGCGCCUUGGGCCAUGUGCUGUCACACUUCCUGACCUCGGAAACAUUCUCCAAAGACCACAUGGCUAUGAAAAAAUCUCUGCCCGAUUCCUCUAGGUCUGGCUCAGCUUCGUUCCCUGCUGUCUACUUAAGGGAGUUUGUUCUCUACCUCUGAAGCCACCUGGGUUCCUGGAUGCACAUAUACAGAUGGGUGACACGUCAUUGAUUAUUCCCGUUCUCAGAGAAUCCAGUCUUCAAGGGACCCCUAGCAGAAACAUACAGAAUGUUUUCCUUCUCAUGUAAUUUGUAAUAGUCUUUUUGCCCUUUGUAAUUA